ACACACACACACACACACAACCCCCCUUGAAUGGUACGAUUCUUUCUGUGGAUCGUUUCCGGCUGACGAAUUCCAGCGAGCCGGGGCGUGGGGUGACCGCAGACAGGCGGCGUGGACAGGCUAAGCCAGGCGAAGAGCUGCUCCAAAAUGGGAUUUUUGCUAUGAACGUACUGUUCUCUUCAUCAUGCUGUACCAGACACUUUCUCCAAGCCAACACAUACCUGUAAGGCAUCGUCUAUAAACCACGCUGAGGUGGCAUUUUAUUACAAGGAAUGGUGCCAAGAAUUCGAAACCCUAAAUGAGGAUGUUAUAGGCACUGUGGUAUACAAGUGAAAUGAAAAUAAAAAUGAGAUGCAAGAUCAGUUCUCAAUAAAGCGGUGACAACCCAGUGACAAGAUGUGACAUGACACAGUUCUGGCAAAGGAAAAGAGUGGAAAUGGAAGAGGCAGUGAGCUGGUGGCAAGAAAUUGUUUGUGAUUUUGAAAAGGCGUAUUGUAAAGAUAAGUGAAAAGGUCAUUGGACUAGAACCAGUGACUGACAAAGAUGAAAAAGAGUACCGUGGUAUGAAAGGCAUCCUUUUAUGUACAGCAUCAGGCUCUUGAAAAUGGGAUACUGUACUACUAUGUACCAGCUGAUGCUAGAUGAGCUGCUAACAAAAAACUGAGAUGAAAGUGACAUUACACAGGAGAAACAGAUAGGAAGGAAGAUGAAUGGAAGAAGAGCCUCAGGUAUGUAUACUGCUUAAAGACCUAGUGACUGAGUGAAAAAUACUCACCUCUGUACGUCAUCAUGAAAAUCUGAGAGAAAAAGCAACCUUUUAAUCCCUCCACAUGAGAAGACUUAAGUAGUUGCUGAAAAAAGACUGUAAGAAAUUAAGGGCCAAGAGUCUUUCAGGGUUCCCAGGAAAGCAUUUGCUAACCAGCUCCUUAACAGACAAAGAUAAUUGUGGGAACGCUGUGUAAUGAACAUCAUUGUGGCUUCAGAAGAGGAUCAAGGAAGAACUGAAGUACAGAAAAGCUCUAUACAAAUGUUUUUGCCAUAUAAUGAUGGGAAAAGAUGAUGUCUAGGAACUGAUGCCAUCCUGUGAAAUACGGUAGCUAAUAGUCCCAAACUGCUGAAGGAGUUAUGAAGACUUUAGGGAGGAAAAAAAGUGAAAUAUCAACACAGCUUCAUCUUGAGUACAACACUUUUGUUUCCAGCUGAUGUUGUUGCUACUUUUGGAUAGCACUCCUGCACUUAGCUUAAGUCCCUACUAAAAUACUGGAAUAAAUAUGAAAAGAAUGAAGUUGUAAACAUAUGGAGGAUAACUGAACCAUGAGCAACUAGCACCAUUGGCACUCAAAUAGUGCAGUGAUAAGAACAGUGAUAGAUUAGACAGACAAUUCCAGACAAAUGUUCAUGCUUCUUUAGAUACAAUUCAGACAGCAUGUGCAGAUGGUAAAAUUUGCACACACAAAAUCUGUUUUGAUAAAUGGACUUUUUGUGUACAAAAACUAUCAUCUGGGCAUGCAAUUAUUAGUGCAGCCAAGUGUGCACACUCCAUCUAGGCAGGAACCAGAUUUUCUCUUUCAUCAGACUUCUGUGAGUUCAAAAGUUUCCGGUCCAAAAGAACAAAACCGAAAAAUUUCAAAAUUUCCCACAAAAUUACAUUUUGGGGAAAAAAAUAUUUGGGGGUCAAUGAAAACAUUUCAUUUCAAUCAAAUCAAAUUGUUUCAUUUUGAUGUUGACCUUUUAAAACAUUAAAAAGGUUUUUGAUAUAAAAAAGCAAUGUGUUUUUUUAAAAGUCAUUUGAACUCAAAAAUAUCAAAAUGGGACAUUUCACUCUGGUUAAAAUGCUUUGUUUCAUUUUAUUUUAUAAAUGAAACUUUGUCAGAACAGACACAUUUUGAAAAAUGUUUUGAUUUUGGCCAAAAAGAUAUUUUUCACUGAAAACUCAUUUUGACCAAAAAAACUUUUGACCAGCUCAAGUGCACACAGAGGUGAGCACAUACAAAACAGAAAGCCGGAGUCUGGACAGCAUCUCUUGUUUUGAAUGAGAUAUAAGAAUGAGAUAUGGUAGCCAGAACUACAAUAGAAGGUAAAGUGAAAUUAAUCAUAAAUAAUGCUAAGUAUGAAGCUGGACUGUUUGAAAAGUGCAAUUGUCAGCAAGAGUGCUUUUGGCCAAGAAUAUGGAGAAAAAUGAACAUGUAGUUAGCAUUUUUGCAACCCAUACUCCUUUCAGCUAAUUGAAUGUGCUAAUAAACAAGUAAGCAUUUUAAGAUAUUUAAGAUAUUCACCAUGGAUGUACCAUGACUUUUUCUUGAAUUACACAGAGGAAACCCAUUGACUUCACAGUGUUACACUUCAACAUUCAUGUGUAUUUGCAUUUAUUGGGUAGAUGUAUGAUUUAAGUAAAAUGUGAAUCUUAUACUAGCCAAUCAAUGUUUGGAUUAUAUAGUCUACUUUAAAAGGGGGGCUACAGCAAGGAAACAUAGUUGUACCAAUUAAAUCAUACUUUUUACUCGUAUUUUCAUGAAAUGGGAUUUCAUAAA